rnacentral:rRNA from 1 species
GACGAACGCUGGCGGCGUGCUUAACACAUGCAAGUCGAGCGAGAACCGGACCUUCGGGUCCGGGGAAAGCGGCGAACGGGUGAGUAACACGUGGGCAACCUGCCCUAGAGACCGGGAUAACGUCCCGAAAGGGACGCUAAUACCGGAUGACGCGUGGUCUGCUAAGUGGAUCACGCCAAAUGGUAGCUUCGGCCUCCGCUCUGGGAUGGGCCCGCGCCGGAUUAGCUUGUUGGUGAGGUAACGGCUCACCAAGGCGACGAUCCGUAGCUGGUCUGAGAGGACGAUCAGCCACACUGGGACUGAGACACGGCCCAGACUCCUACGGGUGGCAG